rnacentral:piRNA from 8 species
UGGGUCGGGGUUUCGUACGUAGCAGAG